UACAGAGGUCUCAAGCGUUGUUCGGAUUCAUUGGGCGUAAAGGGUGUGUAGGUGGCGCCGUAAGUCGGGUGUGAAAUUUCGGAGCUUAACUCCGAAACUGCAUUCGAUACUGCGGUGCUUGAGGACUGGAGAGGAGACUGGAAUUCAUGGUGUAGCAGUGAAAUGCGUAGAUAUCGUAAGGAAGACCAGUGGCGAAGGCGGGUCUCUGGACAGUUCCUGACGCUGAGGCACGGAAGGUCAGGGGGAGCAAACGGG
rnacentral:rRNA from 1 species